rnacentral:lncRNA from 1 species
UUUAAAGAUGAGGAUAAAAAUAAUAUAGGCUAUAAGUAUUGGAUUCUCAUCUCCAAGACAUCUUGGUGAUAUUUUUGAGGUAUCAAGGUAACUUAAAGGAGGGAGGGAGAAGCACAAAGUUAUAGUUGUUAUAAUUAUUGUAUCUUUGAUUUUAAUUAAUAAAAAAGACAAGAUUUGGAUCUUGAAAAAAUAACUAUUGUGAUUGAUUGGAAUCUUUGAUUAAAGUAAGAUUUAGAUAAAUCAUUUAAAAUAAGUGUAUUUAUAUGUAUAAAAAGUUUGAAGGAAAAAUCUAAUCAAA